rnacentral:lncRNA from 1 species
UCGCUGGCACACAAUGUCACUUGUUAGGGAUAACUUAUCAGACUCUCAGAAGGCCGUCGAGAGUGCAUGCCACAAGCACAAACUUGCCGCUGGCACAUAAUGCCUCUCACACGAAGACGAGAAGUGCUAGAUGCCGCAAGCACAAGAUCACCGCAAGCACACAAUACCACUCAUGAGGGAUAACUUAUCAAACCCUCAGAAGGUCGUCGAGAGUGCAUGCCACAGGCAUAAGCUCACUGCUAGCACAUAAUGCCUCUCACACGAAGAUGAGAAGUGC